rnacentral:rRNA from 1 species
ACGGCAGCACAGAGAAGCUUGCUUCUUGGGUGGCGAGUGGCGAACGGGUGAGUAACAUAUCGGAACGUACCGAGCAGUGGGGGAUAACUAAUCGAAAGAUUAGCUAAUACCGCAUAUAUUCUGAGGAAGAAAGCAGGGGACCAUUUGGCCUUGCGCUGUUUGAGCGGCCGAUAUCUGAUUAGCUAGUUGGUGGGGUAAAGGCCUACCAAGGCGACGAUCAGUAGCGGGUCUGAGAGGAUGAUCCGCCACACUGGGACUGAGACACGGCCCAGACUCCUACGGGAGGCAGCAGUGGGGAAUUCUGGACAAUGGGCGCAAGCCUGAUCCAGCCAUGCCGCGUGUCUGAAGAAGGCCUUCGGGUUGUAAAGGACUUUUGUCAGGGAAGAAAAGGACAGGGUUAAUACCCCUGUCUGAUGACGGUACCUGAAGAAUAAGCACCGGCUAACUACGUGCCAGCAGCCGCGGUAAUACGUAGGGUGCGAGCGUUAAUCGGAAUUACUGGGCGUAAAGCGGGCGCAGACGGUUACUUAAGCAGGAUGUGAAAUCCCCGGGCUCAACCUGGGAACUGCGUUCUGAACUGGGUGACUAGAGUGUGUCAGAGGGAGGUAGAAUUCCACGUGUAGCAGUGAAAUGCGUAGAGAUGUGGAGGAAUACCGAUGGCGAAGGCAGCCUCCUGGGAUAACACUGACGUUCAUGCCCGAAAGCGUGGGUAGCAAACAGGAUUAGAUACCCUGGUAGUCCACGCCCUAAACGAUGUCGAUUAGCUGUUGGGCAGCUUGACUGCUUAGUAGCGAAGCUAA